rnacentral:lncRNA from 1 species
GCACCACAGAAAAAAAACUUAGCACCACGGGAGGUAGCUUCCCUCCAAUUGGUCCAACUGAUGUGUAUAGGGGUCUAAAGCAAUCUAUUGGGGUCUAACAUGGUUUGUUAUGCUCAUUAGUCCACAGGCACAUAUGGUCAAAUCUACACAAGUCCUGGGGUCUUUUGGUGUAUAUAUCAUUUAAGAAAAAUAUAAGCACCACAGAAAAAAAACUUAGCACCACGGGAGGUAGCUUCCCUCCAAUUGGUCCAACUAACGUGUAUAGGGGUCUAAAGCACUCUAUUGGGGUCUAAGAUGGUUUGUUAAGCUCAUUAGUCCACAGGCACAUAUGGUCCAAUCUACACAAGUCCUGGGUCUUUUGGUGUAUAUAUCAUUUAAGAAAAAUAUAAGCACCACAGAAAAAAAAACUUAGCACCACGGGAGGUAGCUUCCCUCCAAUUGGUCCAACUAACGUGUAUAGGGGUCUAAAGCACUCUAUUGGGGUCUAAGAUGGUUUGUUAAGCUCAUUAGUCCACAGGCACAUAUGGUCCAAUCUACACAAGUCCUGGGGUCUUUUGGUGUAUAUAUCAUUUAAGAAAAAUAUAAGCACCACCAGAAAAAAACUUAGCAC